GACGAACGCUGGCGGCGUGCCUAAUACAUGCAAGUAGAACGCAGUUGCUAACGGGUGAGUAACUCGUAGGUAACUGCCUGGUAGCGGGGGAUAACUAUUGGAAACGAUAUCUAAUACCGCAUACUCCCAAAUUGACCUGCAUUGUAUUAGCUAGUUGGUGGGGUAAAGGCUCACCACGGGAACGAUACAUUGCGGACCUGAGAGGGUGUGCGGCCACACUGGGACUGAGAAACGGCCCAGACUUCUACGGGAGGAAGCAGUAGGGAAUCUUCGGAAAUGGAGGGCAGUCUGACCGAGCAAAGCCGCGUGAGUGAAGAAGGGUUGCGGAUCGUAAAGCUCUGUUGUAAGAGAAGCGGUAUCUGACCAGAAAGGGAAGGCUAACUACGUGCCAGCAGACGCGGUAAUAA
rnacentral:rRNA from 1 species